GACGAACGCUGGCGGCGUGCUUAACACAUGCAAGUCGAACGGAAAGGCCCUGCUUUUGUGGGGUGCUCGAGUGGCGAACGUGUGAGUAACACGUGAGUAACCUGCCCUUGACUUUGGGAUAACUUCAGGAAACUGGGGCUAAUACCGGAUAGGAGCUCCUGCUGCAUGGUGGGGGUUGGAAAGUUUCGGCGGUUGGGGAUGGACUCGCGGCUUAUCAGCUUGUUGGUGGGGUAGUGGCUUACCAAGGCUUUGACGGGUAGCCGGCCUGAGAGGGUGACCGGCCAGAGUGGGACUGAGAUAUGGACCAAAAUCCUAAGGGAGGCAGAAGUGGGGAAUAUUGGAAAAUGGGCGGAAGCCGGAUGCAGCAACGCGGCGUGCGGGAUGACGGGCUGAGGGGUGUAAACCGCUUACGCCUGUGACGAAGCGUGAGUGACGGUAAUGGGUAAAGAAGCACCGGCUAACUACGUG
rnacentral:rRNA from 1 species